rnacentral:rRNA from 1 species
UGGGGAAUAUUGCACAAUGGGCGCAAGCCUGAUGCAGCCAUGCCGCGUGUAUGAAGAAGGCCUUCGGGUUGUAAAGUACUUUCAGUCGGGAGGAAGGUGGUAAGGUUAAUAACCUUAUCAAUUGACGUUACCGACAGAAGAAGCACCGGCUAACUCCGUGCCAGCAGCCGCGGUAAUACGGAGGGUGCAAGCGUUAAUCGGAAUUACUGGGCGUAAAGCGCACGCAGGCGGUUGAUUGAGUCAGAUGUGAAAUCCCCGGGCUUAACCCGGGAAUUGCAUCUGAUACUGGUCAACUAGAGUCUUGUAGAGGGGGGUAGAAUUCCAGGUGUAGCGGUGAAAUGCGUAGAGAUCUGGAGGAAUACCGGUGGCGAAGGCGGCCCCCUGGACGAAGACUGACGCUCAGGUGCGAAAGCGUGGGGAGCAAACAGG